rnacentral:misc_RNA from 1 species
UCCUUCUUAUCGAAGGCAGUUUCUCAAAAGUGCUUCCCUUGCGGGAAUAGCAACAUGAGAUAGGGGUUGCGCUCGUUGCGGGACUUAACCCAACAUCUCACGACACGAGCUGACGACAACCAUGCAGCACCUCUGCUGGCUUCCUUGCGGAUCAGCCUCUGUUUCCAGAGACUUACUACCAGUAGUUCAAGCCCAGGUAAGGUUCUUCGCGUUGCGUCGAAUUAAACCACAUGCUCCACCGCUUGUGCGGGCCCCCGUCAAUUCCUUUGAGUUUCAGCCUUGCGGCCGUACUCCCCAGGCGGGGCACUUCAUGCGUUAGCGCCGGUACUCCAAGGGUCGCUCCCCGGAGCACCUAGUGCCCAUCGUUUACGGCGUGGACUAC